rnacentral:rRNA from 1 species
UGAGCAAUCUGCCCUUCUCAUCGGAAUAAGCGUUGGAAACGACGUCUAAUGCCGAAUACGACCUCCUUUCGCAUGAUCGGAGGUGGAAAGCUCCGGCGGAGAAGGAUGAGCUCGCGGCCAAUCAGCUAGUUGGUGUGGGUAAUGGCCCACCAAGGCGACGACGGGUAGCCGGCCUGAGAGGGUGACCGGCCACACUGGGACUGAGACACGGCCCAGACUCCUACGGGAGCAG